AGUGAACGCUGGCGGCGUGCUUAACACAUGCAAGUCGAACGAGAACGGAAUAUAGCUUGCUAUAUUUGUCAGCUAAGUGGCGCACGGGUGAGUAAUGUAUAGAUAACCUGCCCUUAAGAAAGGAAUAACAGUUGGAAACGACUGCUAAUGCCCUAUAUGCCUUUAAUACAUAAGUAUGCAAGGGAAACGCUUUGGUGCUUAAGGAUGGGUCUGUAUGGUAUCAGCUUGUUGGUGAGGUAAUGGCUCACCAAGGCUAUGACGCCUAACUGGUUUGAGAGGAUGAUCAGUCACACUGGAACUGAGACACGGUCCAGACUCCUACGGGAGGCAGCAGUGGGGAAUAUUGCACAAUGGACGAAAGUCUGAUGCAGCAACGCCGCGUGGAGGAUGACACAUUUCGGUGCGUAAACUCCUUUUAUAUAGGAAGAUAAUGACGGUACUAUAUGAAUAAGCACCGGCUAACUCCGUGCCAGCCGCCGCUGUAAGAC
rnacentral:rRNA from 1 species